rnacentral:rRNA from 1 species
CCUACGGGAGGCAGCAGUGAGGAAUAUUGGACAAUGGGCGGGAGCCUGAUCCAGCCAUGCCGCGUGCAGGAAGACUGCCCUAUGGGUUGUAAACUGCUUUUGUACGGGAAGAAACACCUCUACGUGUAGGGGCUUGACGGUACCGUAAGAAUAAGGAUCGGCUAACUCCGUGCCAGCAGCCGCGGUAAUACGGAGGAUCCGAGCGUUAUCCGGAAUCAUUGGGUUUAAAGGGUCCGUAGGUGGAUGGUUAAGUCAGAGGUGAAAUCCUGCAGCUCAACUGUAGAAUUGCCUUUGAUACUGGCUAUCUUGAAUCGAUGUGAAGUGGUUAGAAUAUGUAGUGUAGCGGUGAAAUGCAUAGAUAUUACAUAGAAUACCGAUUGCGAAGGCAGAUCACUAACAUUGUAUUGACACUGAUGGACGAAAGCGUGGGGAGCGAACAGGAUUAGAUACCCUGGUAGUCCACGCCGUAAACGAUGGAUACUAGCUGUUGGGCCUCGGCUCAGUGGCUAAGCGAAAGUGAUAAGUAUCCCACCUGGGGAGUACGUUCGCAAGAAUGAAACUUAAAGGAAUUGACGGA